rnacentral:rRNA from 1 species
CCUACGGGUGGCAGCAGUGAGGAAUAUUGGUCAAUGGACGAGAGUCUGAACCAGCCAAGUAGCGUGAAGGAUGACUGCCCUAUGGGUUGUAAACUUCUUUUAUAUGGGAAUAAAAUGUUCCACGUGUGGGAUUUUGUAUGUACCAUAUGAAUAAGGAUCGGCUAACUCCGUGCCAGCAGCCGCGGUAAUACGGAGGAUCCGAGCGUUAUCCGGAUUUAUUGGGUUUAAAGGGAGCGUAGGUGGAUUGUUAAGUCAGUUGUGAAAGUUUGCGGCUCAACCGUAAAAUUGCAGUUGAAACUGGCAGUCUUGAGUACAGUAGAGGUGGGCGGAAUUCGUGGUGUAGCGGUGAAAUGCUUAGAUAUCUCGAAGAACUCCGAGUGCGAAGGCAGUUCACUGGACUGCAACUGACACUGAGGCUCGAAAGUGUGGGUAUCAAACAGGAUUAGAUACCCCUGUAGUC